GUCCUAGCUGUAAACGGUGCGCGUUUGCUGUAAAAGGAAUCGACCCCUUUUGUGGCGAAGCUAACGCGUUAAACGCGCCGCCUGGGGAGUACGGUCGCAAGAUUAAAACUCAAAGAAAUUGACGGGGCCUGCACAAGCGGUGGAGUAUGUGGCUCAAUUCGAUGCAACGCGAAGAACCUUACCUGGCCUUGACAUGCACGUGGUAGAAGCCUGAAAGGGUGACGACCCCGCAAGGGGAGCGUGCACAGGUGCUGCAUGGCUGUCGU
rnacentral:rRNA from 1 species